AAGCAAGAUGCUGGUAAGAGCUCAUCAAUUCAGACCCCACAAUUCAGAAAUUUGGAUUUAUUUAUUUAUUUAUUUUGGUUGUGGAAAACCAGAACUGAUAUUAAUCUUGGCACUAUCCUUGAAAAAAAAUUAUUCAUGAUAAUACAGUAAUAAUAUAUAACAUUUACUGAGUUCAGACUCUGAACAAGGUACUGUCUGCAGUCCUCUACGUGGAUAUCUCAUUUAAUCUUCAAAACAACUGCGUGAGGAAGGUCUUCUCUUCGUUUUGCAGGUGAUUAUUUGGAGGCUAGAGAGGUCAAGGCCAACCUAAGGUCACGCAGCAAGCGAGUGGGAGAACCUGGAUUCAAAAUCCCAGCAGUCUAACGGAUGCCAGAGCCACAUUCUCAACGAUAUUUGGAAAGGCAACUCCGAGCUCAGUCAAAAAUUCAAUUGCUUCUAGGGACUUGAAAAUCAUUUUAACAGUACCCAUUUCUGUUCUUAAAAAAACCUCGUCUGCAGCUCUGUGUCCAAGGGGUUUUUCAAAACCGUGAAAGGUCGCCUUGCCUCUGCAAGCUGGAAGCAUCGAGAAAGUAACCUCUCCUGAGGGUGGCCCGUGACCGGUGACUCUGGGGGUUGGUGUAUAAACACCCUGGCUCUCUCACCCUGAGCCAUGUGCUCUACGCCCUUUCCCAGAGCUUCCCCGCGAGCUUGAGACCCAGUUGCCUGCUGUGGCAGCUGGAUUGAUAAUGCACUGGUCCGAGCUGCCCUCACUUCCAUGUCCUUAACCUGUAUAUUCUGCAUUUCCCAAAUAAACUAGCUGCCCUUGAA